rnacentral:lncRNA from 1 species
AUGGGAAUGGGGGCAAGGGAAGAGAAGGUGGGGGGAUUGGAUGGUUCGAGCGACUCGGGGAGGGAAGUGGAGCGGAGCCUCCCGGGAGAUAAGAUUUGCGCAGAGGCAUGCGUGGCCUACGCAUUGGCACCGCUGGCCUCCAUCUGGGCUGUCGGCUUCCCAGCCGACGGGGUUGGUGUCGGGGCUCGGGGCACGCCGGCCGGAGCAAGGACACGCUGCCCCAAGGGCAGAGUGGCCGAUGACCCGACGUGGAUAUCCGACGGCGAUGAGGUUGUUUGCGGCCAUGGGAGGGCGGAGGAGGCAUCGGUGGCUGUAGAGAAACCCUCCCUCACCCCCAACUUUCCUGAAGCAGUAGCAGGCGAUGACAACGGCGGUGAGGGAGAGGAGGUGGUGGCAGCGUCGAAGCAGCAACAGCAGGCAGCGAUGACUACAGCAACAACGGAGAAGAGGCUGCAACUGGAACAUCGAAGCAGCAACAGUCGAUGGUUGGAUGGUGAGAGAGGAGGAAAAGGGAAGAAAGGAAAGAGGGAGAGGAGAUUGGUUAGGAAGAGGAGCUCCCAAAAAAUAAAUAAUAAAAUGAGGGAAAGGGGAAAUUUUGGCAUAUUAUUGUCCACGUGGCAUGACACGUAGGCAAGAUCAU